rnacentral:rRNA from 1 species
AUGUCCGUGCCGCCAAGAUGGCCCGAUCUCCCGCCGGAGCUGCUCGCCGUCGUCUCCGGUCGCCUGCACGACGCGGCUGACUUCGUCCGCUUCCAUGCCGUCUGCACGCGGUGGCGGGACUCGCUGCCCCAGACGACGGCGCUCCGCCCGGCCUUCUUUCCCUGGCUUAUCGCCCCGCCGCCCGGCUAUGGAGGUUCGCACGUCAACCUCCGCUGCGUCUUCUCCAAGACAAGCUACCUCGCGGUCGCGCGGGCACCCAUGAUGUUCUCCAACCGCAGGUUGGUGGCACGAGCCGACGGCUCGGCGGCCUGGUUCUUCACCGUUGGCUCCAGGCCUACACUCGUCGACCCUCUUACAGGAGGAGUCACGGACCUGCCGUCCUUCCCGGAGGACGACGAGAAGACCGUGCGGAGGAUGGAGAUCUCCCGCGGCAUCAUCUAUGGCGACGACACGGUCUUGCUCUACAACUUCUCCUACUCCGACUACGAGGACCUCGAUGAGGAUGACGACGAGAGAGAGCAACAAAUCGACGUAUGUUUCAACACGGCCGUCCUUCGUCCCGGAGAUACCGCGUGGAAGUUCGUCCACAGACCGUUGGAGGGGUACAGCGAGGACGAGGUGGAGGGGGAGUACGAAAUCUACGACAAUCGUUUCUUGGCUGCAUACCGUGUCGAUGAGAGGAAGACCCUACUGUGCGUGGACGGGGAAGAUCAACAUGGCACCUGGGCAUGGUACUUCCUUGCAGAGUGGGGACCUAGUGCCGCAACAGAUGACACAUACCUAAGGGAAGAGGUCGACGCCACCGGCUGGUGGACUGUCGUGGUCCGACAAGACACGGGCUUCAUAUAUCAGGGCGCAGAAGCCCAGGCGAGCGCGCUGGUGGUGUGGGUGCACGCGUGGGAGGAAGGGGUGGAUGCAAACGGUGAACGAAGGUUUCGGUGGGUGAGGAAGGAUGGUCGGAGCUUCGCGGACCGCGUCAUGUUUUUGGGGUUCCCAACUAGCUUCGCUGUGGAAGCCACGAGGUUCCGGGGCGGGGAGGACGACGUGAGCGGCGGGUGCGUCUACUUGCUCCAUCACAGAAAGUCCGAGUUACAUGGCUUGGCAUCGCAUGGCGUCUUCAGGUACAAUCUUCUCGACGACAAGGCUAAGUUCAUUGAGCGCCUGCCUCCGUAUCCGGAGUCGAGCGGCCAGAAAAGUGAGGCUUGCAUGUGGUUCAUGCCCCAGCCUUCCAUUGCUCCCAUCCAGGUAAUUAGACAAAGGCGAGAGGCUCAAGAGGCAUGCCAUCCAAUGAGAAUUAGCACUAUCCGUAUGGAUAGACAACCAAAACUAUCCAUGGUGCCCUUCUUCAGUUUCCUCGUGCAAAACCUACCUCCGGGCGUCGAUAGCUCUCGGUUGUGCUCCUUCUUCAAUAAGCAUGGCAAAGUAUCCGCUGCCGAGGUGAUCUCACCAAGAACGGCACGUAUUACCAUGUUCAUGGAGACCGUCGACAGAUUAGAUGACGCCGAGGCCACUCUCGAUGGGCUGGUCUUGGAUGGCUGCACCCUGACAGUGAAGUGGUGA